GCGGCCCAGGGGGGUAGCCUCGGCGCCUGCUCAGUAGCCGCGGACACCUGACCUCNAGACGGGGAUAACCGCGGGAAACUGGGAAUAAUACCCGAUAGAUCUGAGAUGAUGGAAGGCUCCCAGGUCCAAAUCCUGCGGGGCUCGAGGAUGGGUCUGCGGCCUAUCAGGUAGUAGGGGGUUUCACGGACCCCCUAGCCGAAGACGGGUACGGGCUUUGGGAGAAGUCGCCCGGAGAUGGAUUCUGAGACACGAGUGGAGGUCCUACGGGACGCANCAGGCGCGAAACCUCCACAAUGUGGGCAACCACGAUGGGGGAACUCCAAGUGCCUACACUAUGUGUAGGCUGUUCUCCAGCCUAAAAAGCUCGAGAAGUAAGGGCCGGGUAAGACGGGUGCCAACCGGCGGCGUAA
rnacentral:rRNA from 1 species